rnacentral:rRNA from 1 species
GGACUACUGGGGUAUCUAAUCCUGUUUGCUCCCCUAGCUUUCGUUCCUCAGCGUCAGUAAUGAUCCAGCUCGCCGCUUUCGCCACGGGUGUUCCUGCAGAUAUCUACGCAUUUCACCGCUACACCUGCAAUUCCACGAGCCUCUCUCACACUCUAGCACGGCAGUUUUGAAAGCAGUCUCUAGGUUAAGCCUAGAGAUUUCACUCCCAACUUGCCACACCGCCUACGAACCCUUUACGCCCAGUAAUUCCGAACAACGCUGGCCCCCUACGUAUUACCGCGGCUGCUGGCAC